rnacentral:rRNA from 1 species
UACGAAGGGGACUAGCGUUGUCCGGAAUCACUGGGCGUAAAGGGCGCGUAGGCGGUCUCUUAAGCGUGUGGUGAAAGCCCGGGGCUCAACUCCGGGUCGGCCGUGCGAACUGGGGGACUGGAGCUUGUCAGAGGCAGGCGGAAUUCCGGGUGUAGCGGUGGAAUGCGUAGAGAUCCGGAAGAACACCGGUGGCGAAGGCGGCCUGCUGGGACAGUGCUGACGCUGAGGCGCGACAGCGUGGGGAGCAAACAGG